rnacentral:misc_RNA from 1 species
AUGGAACUCAGGUUCGCAGGAGAAUCAAAACGAGGCCAUUAUUGAGGUCAAAGGUCAUUAGCUGACACACACACUGACAGUACAUUUAUCCUCUAUGUGCCAUCUAUACCAAGCAAUAUACUACUCUAAAAAUAGAAAUCUCAGCAUUUCACUAAGAUUACUACAUUUUUAAAUCCAUGUUUGUUUUAUGUUAUUUUAUAUCCAAAAAGAAAAUUAAAUGUAAUUAAAUGGAUUGUUGUUAGGGAAAAUUCAGGAAUUCUGAAAAGAAUAUAUUUUAGAUAGUAAGACCAGUUUUCCCUCAAAACUGUUGUGUGGAGACCAUCAUCUUGAGAUGAUGUUUACAGCCAUUUGAUUAAUACACCUGUGACAAAGUUUACCAAAAUAAAAAUACAUGCAUCAUAAUCCAUAUAAUUGUUUCAUUCAUAAAUAAUAUAUAUCAGAAACCAUCAUCUUUUUGUUGAUGGAAAUGUGUAUAUGGACAUGGAUGUGAUCAUCGUUUCUACCAAGAACUCUUUAACCAAGACUUACCACAGCUGUGGAUUGUGUACACUAUGUAUCGCAGACCAUUCCACCUCAUUCAUUUGUAAAUAGUUCAUCACUUUUGUACCUCUGUGAAAUCAUGUAUAUAAUUUAAUCAACCAUAUUUUUUAUGAUAUAUAUAUAUAAUGUAAUUUUUAAUAAAUCAUUUCAAAAUG